AGGUAUAGGUUGGAAACUGUCUGGUUAUACUGAAAAAGAUACCUAUUCCUAAAUGGCGUAAGGAGCUCUCUCGAGUGGUUAGAAGGAAUUAUUAUGGAAAGUCCCUCUACAAGAACAAAAGAUCCAGGAGGGGCACAAGGGAAUGAACAAGACAAGAAAAGAGAACAUUAAGGUGAACUCAACACAGGAACAGCUGCCAAAGAAUCAUCCUCUACUAUUCACCAACCCCAACCAAGGGUUAGCUCCAUUUGGCACGCCUCUCUUGUCUUCAAAAUCUACUUUGCAAGAGACAUUAUUCUCAGCACAGGAAGUGUCGACCCUCGUCAAGUUGAAGAAACCGCUGGCUAUGCCAAGCAAACCAGAAUUGCAGAAGAUGAUGAGCACAAGAAGCAACACAGAAAGAGCACCCAUAUAUAGUACUCUCAGUAAGAUCAGCGAAUUAUAUGCGGAUCGAUCCAACCAAAGUGCUGUAAAAGAAGUAAGAGAUGACCCUUAACAAGGUCAAAUGGUAUCUUGUAGAUUCAGUUGCAUAGAAAGAACAGAAAAGUGAGGGCAAGUGAUCAUUAUGGUAAAGAUAGCCUCCAAGGCAAGAAAACCAUGGGAACAAGGUUGGGAUCAGCACUUCUGUAUUGUAGUGGUGGAAGGUGAUGGAGAGAACAGUGGAAGAGAGUGUUAUGAAUAUAUGGAGCUUGUCGUGGGAGUGCUGAAAUAGCUAGCAGGUGAAGGAAACCUGAAACGACAUUCUGAAUAUGAACGAGGAAUGUGUUGGAAGUUGGCGAGGGGUUCACUUUAUGAGAAAGCACCGGAUGAUUAUUCACACGCCUGUGACUGUGAGGAAAUUAAACUUUGUCUAGCAUGUACCACCCACUUUAGCUUCCUUUUCUUUAUUCCUUUUUCUCCCUUCCUUCUUUUUGGAGCCAAGACAUGCAUCAUGUUGUCUUCUUA